AACGAACGCUGGCGGCAUGCCUAACACAUGCAAGUCGAACGAGACCUUCGGGACUAGUGGCGCACGGGUGCGUAACGCGUGGGAACCUGCCCUUAGGUUCGGAAUAACUCCCCGAAAGGGGUGCUAAUACCGGAUAAUGUCUUCGGACCAAAGAUUUAUCGCCUUUGGAUGGGCCCGCGUUGGAUUAGCUAGUUGGUAGGGUAAAAGCCUACCAAGGCGACGAUCCAUAGCUGGUCUGAGAGGAUGAUCAGCCACACUGGGACUGAGACACGGCCCAGACUCCUACGGGAGGCAGCAGUGGGGAAUAUUGGACAAGGGGCGAAAGCCUGAUCCAGCAAUGCCGCGUGAGUGAUGAAGGCCUUAGGGUUGUAAAGCUCUUUUACCCGGGAUGAUAAUGACAGUACCGGGAGAAUAAGCUCCGGCUAACUCCGUG
rnacentral:rRNA from 1 species